rnacentral:misc_RNA from 1 species
CAACCCUCAAGCUCUGCUUGGUAUUGGGCCUCCGCCUCCCCGGCGGGCCUCAAAAUCAGUGGCGGUGUCAUUGGACUCUAAGCGUAGUAAUUCUUCUCGCUCUGGAGCCUCCGGUGGCCACCUGCCAGCGAACCCCCAUUUUUUAAA